GCUAAAGGAGUCGUUUGUCAGUUGUAGAAUCACUGGUGAUAAGGGGUGGGCAGUUCUGUGUCAGCCGCCGCGGUAAAACCAGCACCUCGAGUGGUCAGGAGGUUUAUUGGGCCUAAAGCAUCCGUAGCCGGUUGCAUAAGUUUUCGGUUAAAUCUAUGCGCUUAACGUAUAGGCCGCCGAAAAUACUGUGCAGCUAGGGAGUGGGAGAGGUACACGGUACUCGAUAGGAAGGGGUAAAAUCCUUUGAUCUAUUGAAGACCACCUGUGGCGAAGGCGGUGUACCAGAACACGUUCGACGGUGAGGGAUGAAAGCUGGGGGAGCAAACCGGAUUAGAUACCCGGGUAGUCCCAGCUGUAAACGAUGCAGACUCGGUGAUGCAUUGGCUUGUGGCCAAUGCAGUGCCGCAGGGAAGCCGUUAAGUCUGCCGCCUGGGAAGUACGUACGCAAGUAUGAAACUAAGGAUUGGCGGGGGAGCACCACAGGGGUGAAGCCUGCGGUUCAAUUGGAGUCACGCC
rnacentral:rRNA from 1 species